rnacentral:rRNA from 1 species
AAUAGAUACCCUGGUAGUCCAUGCCGUAAACGUUGGGCGCUAGAUGUGGGGACCAUUCCACGGUUUCCGUGUCGCAGCUAACGCAUUAAGCGCCCCGCCUGGGGAGUACGGCCGCAAGGCUAAAACUCAAAGGAAUUGACGGGGGCCCGCACAAGCGGCGGAGCAUGCGGAUUAAUUCGAUGCAACGCGAAGAACCUUACCAAGGCUUGACAUAUACGAGAACGCUCUAGAAAUAGAGAACUCUUUGGACACUCGUAUACAGGUGGUGCAUGGUUGUCGUCAGCUCGUGUCGUGAGAUGUUGGGUUAAGUCCCGCAACGAGCGCAACCCUCGUUCUAUGUUGCCAGCGGUUCGGCCGGGAACUCAUAGGAGACUGCCGGGGUCAACUCGGAGGAAGGUGGGGAUGACGUCAAAUCAUCAUGCCCCUUAUGUCUUGGGCUUCACGCAUGCUACAAUGGCCGGUACAAAGGGCUGCAAUACCGUAAGGUGGAGCGAAUCCCAAAAAGCCGGUCUCAGUUCGGAUUGAGGUCUGCAACUCG